rnacentral:tRNA from 1 species
CGCGGGGUAGAGCAGUUGGUAGCUCGUUGGGCUCAUAACCCAGAGGUCGCUCGUUCGAGUCGGGCCCCCGCUA